rnacentral:rRNA from 1 species
GAUGAACGCUGGCGGCGUGCCUAAUACAUGCAAGUCGAGCGAACUGAUUAGAAGCUUGCUUCUAUGACGUUAGCGGCGGACGGGUGAGUAACACGUGGGCAACCUGCCUGUAAGACUGGGAUAACUUCGGGAAACCGAAGCUAAUACCGGAUAGGAUCUUCUCCUUCAUGGGAGAUGAUUGAAAGAUGGUUUCGGCUAUCACUUACAGAUGGGCCCGCGGUGCAUUAGCUAGUUGGUGAGGUAACGGCUCACCAAGGCAACGAUGCAUAGCCGACCUGAGAGAGUGAUAGGCAACACUGGGACUGAGACACGGCCCAGACGCCUACGGGGGGCAGCAGUAGGGAAUCGUCCGCAAUGGACGAAAGUCUGACGGAGCAACGCCGCGUGAGUGAUGAAGGCUUGCGGGUCGUAAAACUCUGUUGUUAGGGAAGAACAAGUACGAGAGUAACUGCUCGUACCUUGACGGUACUUAACCAGAAAGCCACGGCUAACUACGUGCCAGCCGCCGCAGUAAUAC